ACGCGCCUUGAAGUGGGGGCAUUUGUAAACAUCGAAAUUUCGGUAAAACAAUGUUGACCGACAACUCAAAGUUUCAACGCUCAUGUAUUACAUAAAUUUUACACGUAGUGUGUGUCUAAACAAAAAAAUCAAAAUAAGUUGGAAAAGUCAUCAAACAGGACACGUGUCAACACCUGGCAAAAACGACUUAUUUCAUCUGGAAUAUUAUAUUCAAAAUUAGGCCUUGAAAAUUUCUAUAAAUAGAAGGGUAAUUCAUUCAUUUGAAAAAAAAAAAGGGGACCAAAAUCAUUAGGCAAAAUUCUUGAAGCUCUGAAGCUCUGAAACUUCGAAGCUCUCAAGCAUCCAGGUUCCCGAAGAAUCAAGAAAGCCUUCUUCGUUCUUCGUUCAUCG
rnacentral:lncRNA from 1 species